AUUCGAUUGGCCUGGCGGGAAGCACUUUAGCAGAGGAACUCUGGCUUUCGAAGAGUAUGUGUUUCCCCCCUUUUUUGCCUCUUUUCACCCAUUAAAACCCUGCUUUACUCGCCCUUUAAACCAUCUGCGAGUCUAAAUUUUCAUGGCCGUGGGACGGACAAGAACCUCGUCUUUAGCUGAACUACAGAAAAGUCCUGAAACAUUUUUGGCACGCAACUUGGGGGCUGGAGAAGUGGUCAGGGUCCCCAGGUUCCAGGCCCCAGGCCAUGGACAGGCUGCAUAGCAGGAGAUGAGACUGUCUAGUUGCAGCAGAAUAAGCUCAGGGCUCUCACAGAUUCUACAUUACGAAAGUUAUGACUGCCAAGAAGUUAC
rnacentral:lncRNA from 1 species